rnacentral:tRNA from 1 species
GCGGGCGUGGCGGAACCGGUAGACGCGCAGGUCUCAAAAACCUGUUCCCUCACAGGAGUGUCGGUUCGACUCCGACCGCCCGCACCA